UGCCAGCCGCCGCGGUAAUACGGGGGGAGCUAGCGUUGUUCGGAUUUACUGGGCGUAAAGGGUGCGUAGGUGGUUUAUUAAGUUAGAGGUGAAAUCCCGGAGCUCAACUCCGGAACUGCUUUUAAAACUGGUAGACUAGAGAUAGGUAGAGGGAAGUGGAAUUUCUAGUGUAGGAGUGAAAUCCGUAGAUAUUAGAAGGAACACCAGAAGCGAAAGCGACUUCCUGGGCCUAUUCUGACACUGAGGCACGAAAGCGUGGGGAGCAAACAGGAUUAGAUA
rnacentral:rRNA from 1 species